GAAGAAAGUCGGCCCGGAAAUGGAAGAGAUUGUGAAGAAAAUCAAGAUCUUAAUUGAAGAAAAACAAGUGAGCGAUGUCGCGAUGAAGAAUUUACAGUAUCGGCAGACUUCGAUGGAGAGUGAUCUAGACCACCUGAACCAGGAAGUCUACUGUCUAGAGGCGACUUGUAACAUGAAAGAAG